rnacentral:lncRNA from 1 species
GAUCUCGAGAAAUAGAUGUGUAAAUAGUCCUAUUGAAUGGAUAUCUUGAGAAGGUAUCUAUAUGCAGUGGCCUAUGGAUUUCACUUUCAGUGAUAAAGAUCACACUGCAAAAAUUUAUUUAUAGAUUUAAGCAAAAAUCUCAAAGUCAGAUUAAGUUAUUUUAAUGAUGUAAUCAAAUUAUUUGAUUUCAUCAAAAAUAAGGAGGAA